AUUGAACGCUGGCGGCAGGCUUAACACAUGCAAGUCGAGCGGGGGAAGGUAGCUUGCUACUGGACUUAGCGGCGGACGGGUGAGUAAUGCUUAGGAAUCUGCCUAUUAGUGGGGGACAACAUCUCGAAAGGGAUGCUAAUACCGCAUACGUCCUACGGGAGAAAGCAGGGGAUCUUCGGACCUUGCGCUAAUAGAUGAGCCUAAGUCGGAUUAGCUAGUUGGUGGGGUAAAGGCCUACCAAGGCGACGAUCUGUAGCGGGUCUGAGAGGAUGAGCCGCCACACUGGGACUGAGACACGGCCCAGACUCCUACGGGAGGCAGCAGUGGGGAAUAUUGGACAAUGGGCGCAAGCCUGAUCCAGCCAUGCCGCGUGUGUGAAGAAGGCCUUAUGGUUGUAAAGCACUUUAAGCGAGGAGGAGGCUACUUUAGAUAAUACCUAGAGAUAGUGGACGUUACUCGCAGAAUAAGCACCGGCUAACUCUGUGCCAGCCGCCGCCGUAAUAC
rnacentral:rRNA from 1 species